GUUUCAACAGAAAUCUUUUAACUUUUUCUCUUCUAUCUCUUCUGUUCAUUUCUACUUAUAAUCAAUUUAUUAUUUUUUAAUUCAUUCUUGAGAAAAUUUUAGAAUUACUGUCUAGAAUUCUGUUUUGAAUUUGUUAUCCUAGAGGAAUUUACCCAAAUUACCAAGCAGCAACAUAGUAAGGGGCAUAAUUCUCUUAAGAAGAAGGACUACACGAUUGAAGCAUAUUAGUAUCUUUUCUAACACCUCGAGUACUAUAAAAUUAUCUCUAAUUGAAAAUGCAACAUACGACUUAUAGUCCAUCCAUUAUCAAAA
rnacentral:misc_RNA from 1 species